CUGACUCUCUUUUCGGACUCAGCCCACUUGCACCCAGGUGAAAUAACAGCCAUGUUGCUCACACGAAGCCUGUUUAGUGGUCUCUUCACACGGACACACAUGAAAUUUGGUGCUGUGACUUGGAUCGGGGUACCUCCCUUGGGAGAUCAAUCCCCUGUCCUCCUGCUCUUUGCUCCGUGAGAAAGAUCCACCUAUGACCUCAUGUCCUCAGACCGACCAGCCCAAGGAACAUCUCACCAAUUUUAAAUCAGGAGCUUGCUACACGUGCCAGAAAUCUGACCACCAGGCCAAGGAAUGCCCGCAGCCCAGGAUUCCUCCUAAGCCGUGUCCCAUCUGUGUGGGACCCCACUGAAAAUCGGACUGUUUAACUCACCUGGCAGCCAUUCCCAGAGCCCCUGGAACUCUGGCCCAAGGCUCUCUGACUGACUCCUUCCCAGAUCUUCUCGGAUUAGCGGCUGAAGACUGACACUGCCCGAUCGCCUCGGAAGCCCCCUAGACCAUCACAGAUGCCGAGCUUCGGGUAACUCUCACAGUGGAAGCAUCUGAAGUUCUCUGGAACUAAAUAUCCAUGACAUGAAGAGAGGGGAAAGUACUGGAAAUAGAAUGAAAUUUUAGGGCCGAGCAUGGUGGUUCGUGCUUGCAAUCCCAGCACUUUGGGAGGCAGAGGCGGGAUGAUUGAGACCAGGAGUGCGAGACCAGCCUGGGCAACAUAACAAGACCCUCAUUUCUACAAAACAACAACAACAACAACAACAACCUGGGCACGGUGACACACACCUACAGUUCCAGCUACUCGAGAGGCUGAGGUGAGAGAAUCGCUUGAGCCCAGGAGUUCGGGGUUGCAGUGAGCUAUGAUCGCAUGACUGCACUCCAGCCUGAGUGACAGAGUGAGACCCUGUCUCAAAAAAAUAAAAAGAAUGGAAUUCUGAA
rnacentral:lncRNA from 1 species